UACGAGGGGGGCAAGCGUUGUUCGGAAUUAUUGGGCGUAAAGGGCGCGUAGGCGGUGCGGUAAGACUGUGGUGAAAUCUUCGGGCUCAACUCGAAGCCUGCCGCGGUGACUGCCGUGCUGGAGUGUGGCAGAGGAAGGUGGAAUUCCACGUGUAGCGGUGAAAUGCGUAGAGAUGUGGAGGAACACCAAUGGCGAAGGCAGCCUUCUGGGCCAACACUGACGCUCAUGCACGAAAGCGUGGGGAGCAAACAGG
rnacentral:rRNA from 1 species